ACCAAUAAGCUAUGAGCCUGCCCCCUUGCCUUAUAAGGGCGCUGUUACCCAAUCAUCACUCUCUUGGGUUCCGGACUAGCAGAGAGAGGGAAGCUCCGUGUAUACCUUCAAGACCAAUCUAGGCCUGAAGCCUGCUAACUUCAGCCGGAUACAAAACGGUCAUAUGGAGACAACCAAUCAAUGCCUUUGGGGUCAGUCAGAAUAUAUUGGACUGGUGUAUGGAGCCUUUGCUGGACAGGUAAUUCCAGCCAUGUGAUCUGUGUGAAGGAGAGAGGAUUACAUAAGACUGUAUUGGUGGAGGGGGAUGUGCCGCAACCUUUGUACUUGUUUCCUAGACCUCUGGACAAAGCCAUGUUUUUAUGUGUAAUAAUCUACUUAUUUGUCGCAAUCUCUCCCCCGCGGUCAGAUAGUAAUAACCUUAAGUAAA